UGCCCGGUCGUCUAAUGGUAGGACACUUGCCUUUGAAGCAAGGUAUCGAGGUUCAAAUCCUCGCUGGGCAA
rnacentral:tRNA from 1 species